rnacentral:lncRNA from 1 species
AUUAGACAAUGCUUGUACUAUCUUCUCGUGAGCAGUUGCAACAACACUUUGUCCAUUGAUCUCAAUAAUACGAUGACCCACUCUAACCCCUCCCCUCUCAGCUAUUCCACCUCUCAUCAAGCUGCAAAUCUGCCAAGAAAAAGUUAUUAAAGAUUAGAAAUGUCAAAAUAUAGCAGUUAAUAGGAUUUAAUACACCAUACAGAGAUACUAGCAGAAAGCAAUAAGCAGUACUACAAGGUAUUACUGGUUUACCAUUUUUCAGAAUUUAUGGAAAUGACCAUUUUUACUUUGGUUCUUCUGGACUGGGAACGUGUAAACACGUACAGGGCUGCACCUCGCCGCAAGGCAGAAGCAGCAGAAGUGGAGUUAUGGGGAAAAGUGGAGUUUUACAUACUGUUGGGAUAAGAAACUGAUUAUUUUGAAAACUGUUUCUCACUGUACCAUCUGGACUCUCUGAAAUUACCGCAUUGUUCUUUCUACACAAUGAGAUGUAAAAAACAACUAGAAUACAAAUUAAUCUACAACAGCAAACUUUUCAUAUACAUGGAAAAAACUGACAUAAAGCUUGAUCCAUAAUCCUUAAUCCUGGAGAAACACUGAUGUAGGCUGAAUGAAAGGAUGAUGCCAUAUAGGCAUUCUGUACUGAAAGGUGGUGCAGGGUCUUGAGUGAGCACGUUCUUAUUACAGGCUGUUAUCAGCAAAUUAAUUGAAUAGUGAAGGAUGACAGCUUGUUUUCUGUACCUCUGCAGGCUGGAAAAGGGCACUCUGCCCUCCUGAGCCACCGCUUUUCUCCAUGUUUUAUAGUGCUGCUGACUAGAGAGAGUUUAGGACAAAGAAGGCAAAUCAGUCCACUGUUUCAGCUGGCAUCCACAGACUGGAAGAAGAGGAAAAGGUGAUGGUCCUGCAUUGCAGGCAGUCCUUAAUGCUGUAUCAGCCCUCAAAAACACUGGGUGGCUACCUGAGCUAGCAGUGCCCUGAAAAUUUGCUUUGUACCAGAAAAUGGCUUGGGAAAGAAGGACUGUGAGAAAAGAACCCUGAGCUGCACCGGUUUUGCUUGUGUUCUACUAGAUGAGAUACUAGCCUGCCCAGUAUCACAGCAUCCUGGACAUGUGGUUAUUUUCUCUGGUGGCACUGGAACACAGAGAAACAGGUAGAGAUAUCAAAGGAUCAAGUUGCAUCUUUCAGAAGGAGUGCAUGUACCAACCAGAG